AGAGCCCAGCGCAUAAUCUCCCGGGCUACCAAGCCUGCGGCGAAAUGUUGCGUUAAGGGAAAGGUCGAUAUAAAGCCCUGCACAAUCGUGUACCUAAAUCGUACUGAAUGUUCACGGUUAUUCUAAAGAAUGGCUGCGAUUCCACAGAGGGUGCCAGACCCGUGUGGGCACGUUAGUGCGUGGGUUCGGCUUAUAUUCCCAGAGAGUCGCGUUGCUUGAGCAUGCAGCGCAAAGCAGGUCGUAAACUCGACCUAAGGCUAAAUAUUUCCACAGAACCGAUAGUAAACAAGUACCGUGAGGGAAAGUUGAAAAGUACUCUGAAGAGAGAGUCAAAAGACCGUGAAACCGUUCAGAGUAUAAGCCAAUGGUAAACUGGAAGAUCGGGACUAUUGAAUCUUCUUGAGGGUGUCAGUAUCGUGUGUGGUAAGAAGUUGGCGGGAAGUGGCAUUAAGUUGAUAUCACGCCUAURACAUGCGGGUUACUGGUCGGCUGAGGGGGGGAUCACGCAAGUGGUUCUUUUCUACCGCGUGUGGCUUAUGCAUGGCGCUGUCGAUGGUCACACUAACGAGUUGUCUAUAUACGAUCCACCACAACACUUUACGAGGUCACCUACACGACAUGAAUAAUAUUUGCCGCGGUGAGCUCUCGGUGAGCGCGCGCCGAGGCCGGCCGGCAUUUAUCAUGUUCCAACGUGUUUGGUAUGAUCCUCUGUGAAGGUUGCUUUCUGACCGUUCAAGCAGUGUGAAUGAGGGUGUUGGAUCUCCGGGCGUGUGAUGUAAACGCGUGUAGUAGACGUUUCCCUACUUACGCCGUUCGCUGAUGGAUGAUUUGGUGACCUAUUCCGGAGCCAUUGGUCACGUCUCGAAACACGGGCCAAGGAGCAUAGCAUGUGCGCAAGUCUAAGGGUCUCACAAAACCUGGAGGCGAAGUGAAAGCGAAUGGUGUGUUGGUGGACAGUGCAAACUGUACUCUAGCAGCUUCAGUAGUGCGUAAUUCCUAUUUGGAUGAAUGCGUCUCGGGCUUAUACCGAGCUGAUCCUGUUGCUAUACGACUAUCGUCGAUGCACAGGCGCAAGCUCCAGGCUCUCAGACAAGACGACGUCUAUAUGGGAGCACUGUGUAGCGUGUAUGCUAUAACCCGAAAGAUAGUGAACUAUGCCUGGCGA
rnacentral:rRNA from 1 species